AAAUAGACUACCCAGGUAGUCCACGCCGUAAACGAUGGAUACUAGCUGUUUGAGCGCAAGUUUGAGUGGCUAAGCGAAAGUGAUAAGUAUCCCACCUGGGGAGUACGGGCGCAAGCCUGAAACUCAAAGGAAUUGACGGGGGCCCGCACAAGCGGUGGAGCAUGUGGUUUAAUUCGAUGAUACGCGAGGAACCUUACCAGGGCUUAAAUGUAGAUUGACGUAUUUGGAAACAGAUAUUUCUUCGGACAAUUUACAAGGUGCUGCAUGGUUGUCGUCAGCUCGUGCCGUGAGGUGUCAGGUUAAGUCCUAUAACGAGCGCAACCCCUGUUGUUAGUUGCCAGCGAGUAAUGUCGGGAACUCUAGCAAGACUGCCAGUGUAAACUGUGAGGAAGGUGGGGAGUGACGUCAAAUCAUCACGGCCCUUACGUCCUGGGCCACACACGUGCUACAAUGGCCGGUACAGAGAGCAGCCACUUAGCGAUAAGGAGCGAAUCUAUAAAGCCGGUCACAGUUCGGAUCGGAGUCUG
rnacentral:rRNA from 1 species